UACGAAGGGGGCAAGCGUUACUCGGAAUUACUGGGCGUAAAGCGUGCGUAGGUGGUUUGUUAAGUCUGUUGUGAAAGCCCCGGGCUCAACCUGGGAAUGGCAAUGGAUACUGGCAGGCUAGAGUGCGGUAGAGGGUAGUGGAAUUCCCGGUGUAGCGGUGAAAUGUGUAGAGAUCGGGAGGAACACCAGUGGCGAAGGCGGCUACCUGGACCAGCACUGACACUGAGGCACGAAAGCGUGGGGAGCAAACAGG
rnacentral:rRNA from 1 species